AGCAUCCAGAAUCAACCUACAGGCUGGGCCGGAGGAAUCAAGAUUGCAGAAAAGCAUAUUGUAUCCCCGUGUCUCUCUCCUGGGGGUUUGAAUGCAGUUCCCAAAGUGCACGUUGGAGCCUUGGUCCCUGGUGCAGCAGUGCAGGGCGAUGGCGAUGAACCUCGAGGUGCGAGUUCAGCUCCCAGCUUCUUGCUUCCCUCCAGGGCCUCGAGCAGCAAGGAGGCCCUCAGAGAUGCCAGGCAGACGCCAGCCCGCACCCCAGGACGCCAGCACCGGAAUCGUCAGCCAACCACACCCCGGGCGUUACAAGCGGCCCAGUCCUGGGUUGGCGCUCACGGCAGCACACGGCCCUGCAGGCUGCUUCGGAGUGCGGGUCGUGGGGGCCAAGCCGAAAGCAGGUGUCCAGAGUGCGAGGCGGUGGCCAGAAAGAGCCGAGCCGUGUGUGCCGGCUGCUGUGGCAAGGGUCUGUGGACCGCACGGCGUUCGCCCCACACACGCUCACCUCUCAGUUCUAGAACCCGAGAGCAGGGGUCCAGCGACACCGGGCUCCUGCGAGGCCCCUCUUCUGCUUGCAGAUGGACAGUUUCUGGCUGGAUCCCUGCCUCCUCUUCUUUUUUAAAGAUUUAUUUUAUUUAUUUGAAAGGCAGAGAGAGAGAGAGAGAGAGAGAGAGAGAGAGAGAUCUUCCAUCCGCUGGUUCACUCCCCAAACAGCUGCAGCAGCCAGGGCUGGGCCGGCUCAAAGUCAGGAGCCAGGAGCUUCUUCUGGGUCUCCCAUGUGGGUGCAGGCACCCAAGCAAUUGGGCCAACUUCCACUGCUUUCCCAGGCCAUUAGCAGGGUGCUGGAUCAGAAGUGGAGCAGCCGGGACACAAACCAUUGCUCAUAUGGGAUGCCUGCGUCUCAGGCCGCGGCUUUACCCACUACACCACAGCGCCGGUCCCGUUCCGGCCUCUUCCUGUAAGGGCACAAGUGUCACUCACGAGGCUCCAUUCUCACGUCUGGGCCACCUCCCCAGGCCCUGCCUCUCAAUACCUCCUAUUGGGAUUAAGGCGCCAACAUACACAUUUUAG
rnacentral:lncRNA from 1 species